AUGGGGAAAGAGUACCUUGAAAUUCCAUGGACUAACAUGAGAUCAAAGGUGGAGCCAUCUGUUGUUGAGAAAUCAUUAAUUAACCACAGUGAUUACUUGAGUGGUGAAGUCAUUUCAGCCUCUGCUACUGAUGUAAGUGGAGAGGCUGUGAUCACAGCAGAGGGUCGUUUGGUGGAGUACACAUACCUUGUCAUAGCCACAGAUGACGUGAAGAUAAAAUAUUCCGAUUCGAUUCUUAUUGUUGGGUGAGCCAUCAGGCGUUGAGCUUGCUGCUGAAAGAGCUGUGAAUUAUCCAGACAACAAGGUGACACUGGUUCAUGACAGACCAAGAUUGUUGGAAUCUGUUGAUCAAAAAGCUGGUGGUAAGGCACUGCUUUGGCUGAGAUCGAAGAAUGUUGAAGUUUAUUUGGAGCAGUUGAUCGAUCUAGAGUUCAUGUCAGAGGGAGAUAGGCUCUACAGGACGUCGUCGGGGAUAGAGAUAACAGCUGAUUGCUACUUCUCGUGCCUCGACAGACCACUGAGUUCUUCAUGGAUUAGAGGUUCUGAGCUGGAAGAUUGCUUGGACAAUGAUGGAAGAUUGAUGGUUGAUGCAAAUCUAAGAGUGAAAGGCCAGGUUAAUAUUUUUGCUGCUGGUGAUAUCAUUGACAUUCCGGAGCUCGAGCAAGGAUAUUUCGUGCGGAGACAUGCCAUGAUAGUCUCCAAAAACAUAAAGCUUUUGAUGCAUGGGGCUAAAGAAAGCAAGCUAUUGAAAUAUAAACAUUCGACAGCAAUGCCGAUGGUCUCACUCGGUAGAAGGAUGCCGUGGCGCAGCUAUCCUUCGCCACGGUCCAGGGCACCUUCCUGCGAUGUGGAAAUCCCGGGACUUGUUCGUGCACAGAACAAGGACUCUGCUGGGGCUUCCACGGUGAAAGUGUGACAGACAAAUUUGGCUGGAAGGGACCGGUUAUGUGCCGCUAAUUUUGACCUUUUGGUUGUACCCACUACACACCCCCCUUGUUGAAAUUUCCUGUCAAAGGAGUAGCACGGUUUAUGGGGUUGUAAAUUUGUAACGGCGACCACUUAUUAUGGAAAUCACAUGUAGCAUGCUUCACUUCACUGAAAGAUAGUCGAUGAUAUUUGAAAUUUUCAGUCCUGAUCUUGGUUC